AUACGGAGGAUCCGAGCGUUAUCCGGAUUUAUUGGGUUUAAAGGGUGCGCAGGCGGGAGAUUAAGUCGGCGGUGAAAUUUUGCAGCUCAACUGUAAAAGUGCCUUCGAAACUGGUUUCCUUGAGUGUAGAUGAAGGAGGCGGAAUUUGUGGUGUAGCGGUGAAAUGCAUAGAUAUCACGAGGAACUCCGAUUGCGCAGGCAGCUUACUAAACUACUACUGACGCUCAGGCACGAAGGCGUGGGGAUCAAACAGGAUUAGAUACCCUGGUAGUCCACGCAGUAAACGAUGAUUACUAGCUGUUUGCGAUACAAUGUAAGCGGCUGAGCGAAAGCGUUAAGUAAUCCACCUGGGGAGUACGUUCGCAAGAAUGAAACUCAAAUGAAUUGACGGGG
rnacentral:rRNA from 1 species